rnacentral:rRNA from 1 species
GCAAGUCUGGUGCCAGCAGCCGCGGUAAUUCCAGCUCCAAUAGCGUAUAUUAAAGUUGUUGCAGUUAAAAAGCUCGUAGUUGAAUUUCGGGAUCAGUACGCCGGUCGUGCCUUCGGUAUGCACUGGUGUCACUGGUUUCUCCCUUCUGAAGAACCAUCAUGCCAUUCAGUUGGUGUGGCGGGGAAUCAGGACUGUUACUUUGAAAAAAUUAGAGUGUUUAAAGCAGGCUCGCGCUUGAAUACAUUAGCAUGGAAUAAUGAAAUAGGACGUUUGACCCUAUUUUGUUGGUUUCUAGGAUCGACGUAAUGAUUAAUAGGGAUAGUUGGGGGCAUUAGUAUUUAAUUGUCAGAGGUGAAAUUCUUGGAUUUAUUGAAGACUAACUACUGCGAAAGCAUUUGCCAAGGAUGUUUUCAUUAAUCAAGAACGAAAGUUAGGGGAUCGAAGACGAUCAGAUACCGUCGUAGUCUUAACCAUAAACUAUGCCGACUAGGGAUCGGAUGAUGUUAAUUUUUUAAUGACUCAUUCGGCGCCUUACGGGAAAC